rnacentral:rRNA from 1 species
CUGCAUGAAGUUGGAAUCGCUAGUAAUCGCGAAUCAGAAUGUCGCGGUGAAUACGUUCCCGGGUCUUGUACACACCGCCCGUCACACCACGAGAGUUUACAACACCCGAAGUCAGUGGCCUAACCGCAAGGAGGGAGCUGCCUAAGGUGGGGUAGAUGAUUGGGGUGAAGUCGUAACAAGGUAAC